UGGGGAAUAUUGCACAAUGGGCGCAAGCCUGAUGCAGCAACGCCGCGUGAGGGAUGACGGCCUUCGGGUUGUAAACCUCUUUUAGCAGGGAAGAAGCGAAAAGUGACGGUACCUGCAGAAAAAGCGCCGGCUAACUACGUGCCAGCAGCCGCGGUAAUACGUAGGGCGCAAGCGUUAUCCGGAAUUAUUGGGCGUAAAGAGCUCGUAGGCGGUUUGUCGCGUCUGCUGUGAAAAUCCCCGAGGCUCAACCUCGGGUCUGCAGUGGGUACGGGCAGACUAGAGUGCGGUAGGGGAGAUUGGAAUUCCUGGUGUAGCGGUGGAAUGCGCAGAUAUCAGGAGGAACACCGAUGGCGAAGGCAGAUCUCUGGGCCGUAACUGACGCUGAGGAGCGAAAGGGUGGGGAGCAAAACAGGCUUAGAUACCCUGGUAGUCCACCCGUAAACGUUGGGAACUAGUUGUGGGGUCCAUUCCACGGAUUCCGUGACGCAGCUAACGCAUUAAGUUCCCCGCCUGGGGAGUACGGCCGCAAGGCUAAAACUUAAAUGAAUUGACGGGGUCAUAGCUGUUUCCU
rnacentral:rRNA from 1 species